UAUUUCUUUCACCAGUUAGGGGAGUUUUCUGUCCUUAUUCCUUCAAAUAAGUUUUUAAUUCUUUGCUCUCUCUCUUCUCCUCUGGCACCCCUAUGAU